AGACGUCAAUCAUCAUGCCCCUUAUGUCCUGGGCUACACACGUAAUACAAUGGCGGUCAACAGAGGGAUGCGAUACCGCAAGGUGGAGCGAACCCCUAAAAGCCGUCCCAGUUCAGAUUGUGGGCUGCAACCCGCCCACAUGAAGUCGGAAUCGCUAGUAAUCGCAGAUCAGCAUGCUGCGGUGAAUACGUUCCCGGGCCUUGUACACACCGCCCGUCACACCAUGAGAGUCGGGAACACCCGAAGCCUGUAGCCUAACCAUUCGGAGGGCGCAGUCGAAGGUGGGUUCGAUAAUUGGGGUGAAGUCGUAACAGGGUAACCGUA
rnacentral:rRNA from 1 species